rnacentral:rRNA from 1 species
UACGGAGGGUGCAAGCGUUAUCCGGAAUUACUGGGUUUAAAGGGUGCGUAGGCGGCUUAGUAAGUCUUGGGUGAAAUCUUCCGGCUUAACCGGGAAAUUGCCUAAGAUACUGCUGAGCUUGAAUGCGGUUGAGGUGGGCGGAAUGUGGCAUGUAGCAGUGAAAUGCAUAGAUAUGCCAUAGAACACCAAUUGCGGAGGCAGCUCACUGGACCGUAAUUGACGCUGAGGCACGAAAGCGUGGGGAGCGAAC